CUCCGUGUCGGAGAUCUCGACUUGGUGGUCGUGAGAUUUCCUGCAAGGCAGAACACUCGACAUGGUGAUGAUAGAAGCGCUUGAGCCAAUCGUCCUCAUCGUCCUGUAGCAUCCAGCACAAAAAAGAACCAUUUUCGACUUCGUUGGUACUUGACGAACGAGACAUGGGGGAUGAAUGAAGCUUUUUGGUGUUUAGUGUGUUGCGAGCCACGACCAAGACGAAGAUGAAUAGUGGAGCACACGAUUUUUCGUGCCACUAGAUUAUAGUUGUUUCAGAAAGGAGGACCUCUGUAUACAUUUUACGAGACAAUGAAACUAUCACAAUGAUUUGAACCUAGAAAAA